rnacentral:lncRNA from 10 species
GCACCCACGGCCGCCCUAUUGCGGCUGGCACUACGCUUCUGCCAGGACCCCGGCUCCCUUUUCCGUUGACCUGGUGUUCGUUUUCCAUGUGUUGCUGAGAGAUGGAUGUUAAAAAUCAACACCAGGACUACAGUAAGGCUGAAAUCAUUGAAGUGCUUGGAGUGCAGAACUGAAAGAGGUACUUACUAACUUUUAGGGCUGUGUAAGUGUAGUGUUGUUUGAAGCUCUGUGUGUGUUUCUGUAAAGACUGGUCUGGAAAACUGACCAGAGGAAAACAUUUCCUUGCUUUUCCUCUGCUCUCACAUGAAAACAACAAACACAGUAAGAGUCAACACCAAAGACUUCAAUGACCCCCAGAUAUGUGGGGAUUUCCCCCUACCAGCAAGCAAGCAAUCAGUUCUGCAGCAGACACUAACUGCGUAUCCUCCAAUUUAAUUCUGACACUAUCUGCCUGGAAAUAGCAUCAGAUCCCUCAGGUUGAGGGCUCAGUCCCCAAGACUGCCAUCCCUUCAGACACCAGUUGCAAGUCUGGGCCUCUAGAACUUCUGACCAGCUGGGCUUCAAGUUGGCAUUCCCAGACAUUUACAGUGGCUCAUGGCUGGAGGAUCACUUGAGGCCAAGAGUUCAAGACCAGCCUGGGCAACAGAGUGAGACCUGUCUCAAGAAAAUAAAAAGUAAAAUUAGCUGUGCCUGGAGGUACAAGCCUGUGUAGUCCUAGCUACUUGGGAGGCUGAGGUGAAAGGCUCACUUGAGCCCAUGAAUUCAAGGUUACAGUGAGCAGUGAUCUGUGCCAUUGCACUCCAGCCUGGGUGACAGAGCGUGAUCC